AGGGAUUCAUCAGGCAACAAGGGAAGAACUUCACGAUACCUCCAACAACAUCCAACAUACACACACUUUUUUCCACGUUAUCAUCGUUUCCUCUAAAGGUUUAAUAGAAAAAAUCUCCAUCAGGGGAAUCCUGAUUUUUUUUUUCACGUAGCAGAUUUGACCCUGCAUAACAGACUACCAAUUCCUCCCUCUCGACACACAAAUUCUACCAGCACCCUUCCACCACCAUCAUCCUCACCAAAUUUCCAUCACUCACACAACGCCUUUCACUCCUAUUACUCGCUUCCAACAAUAUCCAAAUUUCACACACAACACAACAGAAUAACAAACAUCUCAUCUGCAUAUGCUAGAAACAAAAAAACAGAAAGGGGGGUGAUCACGCACACCAUUCCAUCUUCACCAUCACACCCACUCUAAUUCCUCCAUCAACACCAAAGAGACACACCAAAAAAUCACAGAUAACAUAAUCCAUUUUUCCUCCAACCGAAUCAUCUCUCUCGCCCUUCAUCCCUUCCAUCUUCACCAUCACACCCAACCACGAGAACCACCAAAGGCUCCCUCUCUUCCCUAAUCCAUCAUCAACCUCUCACACUACCCCCAAUUCUUAUAUUCACUCACAUAUUACUUUCUAUCAACUCAGCAGUAUCACCCCUGUUGGAAUCAAUUUCCUCCAUCACCUCCAACUCUUGCACCACUCACCAUCACACCCAACCACCAUAACAAAAACCCAAUCCCCUUCAUAUAUUAUAGCUUGUAAUCAUCCCCAAUCGACAUUGAAAAGAACAAAAAAAAACCACCAACAACAAAAGCCAAUUUCCAGCAAGCCAUAAGCUAACUUCUCACCGUCAUCAACCAAAACAAAAUUCAAAUCCAAUAAGGGACACCCAAUCAGAAACCCAGAGUCGAAAGAGCAAAN
rnacentral:lncRNA from 1 species